rnacentral:rRNA from 1 species
AGUGAACGCUGGCGGUAGGCCUAACACAUGCAAGUCGAACGGCAGCACGGUAAGAGCUUGCUCUUACGGGUGGCGAGUGGCGGACGGGUGAGGAAUACAUCGGAAUCUACUUUUUCGUGGGGGAUAACGUAGGGAAACUUACGCUAAUACCGCAUACGACCUACGGGUGAAAGCAGGGGAUCUUCGGACCUUGCGCGAUUGAAUGAGCCGAUGUCGGAUUAGCUAGUUGGCGGGGUAAAGGCCCACCAAGGCGACGAUCCGUAGCUGGUCUGAGAGGAUGAUCAGCCACACUGGAACUGAGACACGGUCCCGACUCCUACGGGAGGCAGCAGUGGGGAAUAUUGGACAAUGGGCGCAAGCCUGAUCCAGCCAUACCGCGUGGGUGAAGAAGGCCUUCGGGUUGUAAAGCCCUUUUGUUGGGAAAGAAAAGCAGCAGGUUAAUACCCCGCUGUUCUGACGGUACCCAAAGAAUAAGCACCGGCUAACUUCGUG